GAAAUGCGAUAAGUAAUGUGAAUUGCAGAAUUCAGUGAAUCAUCGAAUCUUUGAACGCACAUUGCGCCCGCCAGUAUUCUGGCGGGCAUGCCUGUCCGAGCGUCAUUACAACCCUCAGGCCCCCGGGCCUGGUGUUGGGGAUCGGCCGAGCCCUCCGGGGCAGACGCCGUCCCCCAAAUUCAGUGGCGGUCUCGCUGCAGCCUCCAUUGCGUAGUAGCUAACACCUCGCAACUGGAACGCGGCGCGGCCAUGCCGUAAAACACCCAACUUCUGAAUGUUGACCUCGGAUCAGGUAGGAAUACCCGCUGAACUUAAGC
rnacentral:misc_RNA from 1 species